CGGGGGAUAGAAAUAGGCCAUGCAUGUGUAAGUAUAAAGUCCAAGAAGGAUGAAACUGCGAACGGCUCAUUAGAACAGUUAUAGUUUCUUCGAUUAGUAAGUACAAGGAUAGCUUUGUGAAUGAUAAAGAUAAUACUUGAGACGAUCUUAAAUGUAGAGAUACAUUUAGGCCUUUUUUCUGUAAAAGCGGAGAAAAGAGAACUGAUAUCCAAAGUGAAAGUGGGUAUCACGACAAUUGUAGAAUAGAAAUAUUUGACAAGUAAUCGAUGAGAAUAUCUGAUCUAUCAACUAGUUGGUAGUAUCGAGGACUACCAAGGUUAUAACGGAUAACGAGGAAUUAGGGUUUGACAUCGGAGAGGGAGCUUUCAAGAUGGCUACCACUUCUAAGGAAGGCAGCA
rnacentral:rRNA from 1 species